rnacentral:rRNA from 1 species
GCCAGACUCCUACGGGAGGCAGCAGUGGGGGAUAUUGCACAAUGGGGGGAACCCUGAUGCAGCGACGCCGCGUGGGUGAAGGAGCGUUUCGGCGCGUAAAGCCCUAUCGGCAGGGAAGAAGGAGGACGGUACCUGACUAAGAAGCCCCGGCUAACUACGUGCCAGCAGCCGCGGUAAUACGUAGGGGGCAAGCGUUAUCCGGAUUUACUGGGUGUAAAGGGGGCGCGGACGGCAGCGCAAGCCAGGAGUGAAAGCCCGGGGCCCACCCCCGGGACUGCUCUUGGAACUGCGCGGCUGGAGUGCAGGAGGGGCAGGCGGAAUUCCUGGUGUAGCGGUGAAAUGCGUAGAUAUCAGGAGGAACACCGGUGGCGAAGGCGGCCUGCUGGACUGCGACUGACGUUGAGGCCCGAAAGCGUGGGGAGCAAACAGGAUUAGAUACCCCCGUAACA